GCGCUAAUGAGAUUUUAAAAUGUCUCCUGUAACACAUCUACAAUACAUAUAGCUAACAUAGAAGUUAUGUAUAGUGUAUAGUAAGUGUUAAAAUACUUUCGUGAGCCACUGUACGUUAGGUAACAUAGUAGAAAAUUUCCAAAAUGGAACGUGUGCUUCUAGCUUUAGUCGUUUGAGCGUUGAAUUGUUUGGUAAGGUAUAACUUGCAUUUCCUUUGCAUUUAAUCCCGUCAAUUACAUAACAGAGCUGCGACGACCGGAAGCGCUGCUUAAGAAGCGUCAGCCAAAGAGUCAAGGUUUCUUUCAAUAUAUUGUACCUUAAUAUAAAGGCAACAACGAUAAAAUGAUUGUGCAAUACAAAUAUAUAUAUAUAUGUAUAUAUAUCUCAUCGAACUUCGAUGUUUCUUAACUUUGUUUUUCUUGUUCGUCUCUUUUAAAGAAUACAACGAAGAAAAUAUUCCCGCUGGAGUUUGAAACUGAAAGUUCUUACGAGAUCACAGGAAAUCACGAUUUUACAAACGGCGAUCACGAUAAACA